rnacentral:lncRNA from 1 species
ACUUGUUGUAGUUUGCUCGGUGCUUGAAAGUGGCUGGGUAAGUCCUGCUUUCAAAAGUAAGAAGUUCAGGCUCCGUCUUCUUGAACUGCAGAAUCCUAGCCUCCUCUCUCUGCUCCUCAAUAUACUCAGCUAAAUCAUUUCUCACAUUGCAGGGGAUGUACUGCAAACACAAUUAAUAUAUAACUCAAAUAAUCAACUCACAAGAAUAAACAAGCUACUCUAAUAAAAUACUAAAAACAUUAACUAGUAGCCACAAACAUAAAAUGCAGAAAGAUAACAUAUCAACCAAGCACUUUACAAUUAUAGAGCAUGAUGGUUUGCAAGAGAAAUCAAUAACCUAACAACUAGUAGACACGAAACCUUUAGCACAAAGUCAAAAACAUUUGGCAUAACAGUUAUUCGCACCAAGCCAAUUAUGCUACACAAUACUUCAAGGUAUAAGACAUGAAAACAUGCACAUAGCCAUACAUGCAUCAGUUGAUCAUAGCAUACACAUAAAUUAAUCAAAAAGAAAAGGAAUGCCUCAGUAAACACAUACACAUAAACUGAUAUAUGCAUAAAAUAAAAUAAUCCUAUAAAUGAAAAGAUAAAUACUACUCACCAUCCUAACCAAGCAAAUCUCAUCAAAACAAAACAUCAAAUAAUUCCUAAUCUAGAUGGGUAACUUAAAAGAAGAUAAGAUACAUAAAAAGAACCUCGCUAAUCUUGACUAAAUCUGAACAAAUUGAUACCAUAUGAAACUAAACUUGCACGAACAAAUUGAUACCAUAUGAAACUAAACUUGCAAAAUUUCCUCAAAAUAGCAAACUUAUACAUUAAUGCUUCAACUAUAUUUGCAACUUAAUAGCACAAUCAACCCAACUAGAAUAAAAACACAAUUUACUAACCAUGUGCCUAACGCAGUCCUGAUCAAGAACAACAUCAAAGCUGGCCACAUGAUGGCCACCAAGUGCACCUGGCACGCACGGAGCACCCGGGCAACGACACACAGGGCAGACCAUUCGUGCAACAAACAGAAUGAUUUUUUUGACAGAUUAGGAACAAAUACAAUAAAAUCAUACUACCACUACUUACAAGAAUGCUCAUAAAUAAUUGGAUUCAACAACUUCUUAAACUAAUCAAACAAAAAAACAAAGAUAUAAGCAUUUGGGAUAAAAAAGAUCAAACCUUAUACGCUCAACUAAAACCUACCCUACUUCAUAUAACUAUCAAUGAUUGUACACACACUGUAAACAGAAAAAAGGAAUCAUCUUUUCAUUAAAAAAUCCCUUAAAACACAUAUGCAACAACAAUAUAUAACUAAAAAGGCACUCCAAAUCCUAAAAACUGCAGUAUAGGACCUAUAAGUGCAUGAAUCAAUAUCCUCCACAUAACAGAGGCGGAUUGGAACAUGAAAGAAAGAAAGUUCAGAAAACCCUAACAAAUGUAAGGCUAACAAAGUCUACCACCAAACACUACACAUGCAAUCUAAGAAACCCUAGCACAAGGCCUCGAAAAAGAUUUGGCUAUCAUUCAGACAAAAGCUCAAAAAUAGAUGAGGCUAACAUCCCACUAAGCAUCAACAUGCGCACAGAUUGGAUUCCAACGAAUCAGCUAUGAAUUCAAGACCUCCAACGCCGCAGCCUAGAAAGCAGAAACCUUCCAAAGCAUCUUUUCAAGUGGCAGUCCUUGGUAGUUUACAAUCUCUCAGGCAUUGGGCCACUAGACUAACGCCUAUAAUUGACGACGACGCCGUCGAUGCUUUCUCCGACUGGACUCGAGGUAAAAGCGACAAUACUUCCAGGCCCUCAUCGGUGACCAAGCAGCCCUCUGGAGUCUGACACGCAGUUGACGACGAUGCCGCCGCCGCCGCCGUCCUGUCUGCUGUGGCUUAGCAUUUGAUUCGUCAUGCGAGGGAGUCCCUUCCUUUGGAGGCUCUGGACCCCGAGGUAGCAGCGACAACACUUCCAGAUCCUCGGUGUUGCGAAGCAAGGCGGCGACUGACGGGGCCGCAUCGUCGGUGACCAGGCAGCCCUCGAGGGUCAGCUGCCUGAGGUGGCGCAGCUCAAGUAGGACGCAUGAGAGCACGCUGCCCCCCUCCACUAGAAUCCACCUUGGUUAUAUCGUAACGGUUCUUAGGCGAAGCCCUGUUCCGGUAGCAACAUCAUCAUCGUCAUCACGCCGUCGUGCUGACGAAAUUCUCCCUCGAAGCUCUACUGGAUCGUGAGUUCGCGGGACGUCACCGAGCCGAACUUGUGCAGAUCGCAGAGGUGUCGUACCUUCGGUGCUAGAUCGGACGAUCGUGAAGACGUACGACUACAUCAACCGCGUUGUCAUAACGCUUCCGCUUACGGUCUACGAGGGUACGUAGAUGAUACUCUUCCCUCUCGUUGCUAUGCAUCACCAUGAUCUUGCGUGUGCGUAGGAAUUUUUCUUGAAAUUACUAUGUUCCCCAACAUUUAUAUCUCACAAGAACAAUACACUCAAUACAUCAGAGAAAGAUACUAACCAUGAUAUUCUUGAUUGUGUUAGUUGGAGUCAUGACAUGGACGAAAGGCACACACUACAGGAAAUUGCCCCCGAGUGGACAACGGAGGAAGUAGCAGUUCUGAUGGUUGCACACCAACCUGCGCAGCAAUACAGCAGAAAUAGCAUACUCAUAGUUGGCAUCGGACAGGUUUUCAAAAGCUACAGAAAAAGAAAAAACACAUCAGAUAAACAGUCUUGCAACUUGAAUAAUUAAUUAUCUAACAUUCAUGGAAGUUUCAAACAAACAUUGAGAUAGCUUACCAACACAAGGCAGAGGGAGGAUUCUAUCACCACCACGGUAGGUUUGGAUCUUCACAUCAAAAGUUAGAUGGUCCAGCGUAAAAACAACACGAUCUCCAGCACGUAGGCCGUAGUCAUGGGUGAACUGAAACCAGGAACUACCAACGAACUUGUUGUAGUUUGCUCGGUGCUUGAAAGUGGCUGGGUAAGUCCUGCUUUCAAAAGUAAGAAGUUCAGGCUCCGUCUUCUUGAACUGCAGAAUCCUAGCCUCCUCUCUCUGCUCCUCAAUAUACUCAGCUAAAUCAUUUCUCACAUUGCAGGGGAUGUACUGCAAACACAAUUAAUAUAUAACUCAAAUAAUCAACUCACAAGAAUAAACAAGCUACUCUAAUAAAAUACUAAAAACAUUAACUAGUAGCCACAAACAUAAAAUGCAGAAAGAUAACAUAUCAACCAAGCACUUUACAAUUGUAGAGCAUGAUGGUUUGCAAGAGAAAUCAAUAACCUAACAACUAGUAGACACGAAACCUUUAGCACAAAGUCAAAAACAUUUGGCAUAACAGUUAUUCGCACCAAGCCAAUUAUGCUACACAAUACUUCAAGGUAUAAGACAUGAAAACAUGCACAUAGCCAUACAUGCAUCAGUUGAUCAUAGCAUACACAUAAAUUAAUCAAAAAGAAAAGGAAUGCCUCAGUAAACACAUACACAUAAACUGAUAUGUGCAUAAAAUAAAAUAAUCCUAUAAAUGAAAAGAUAAAUACUACUCACCAUCCUAAUCAAGCAAAUCUCAUCAAAACACAACAUCAAAUAAUUCCUAAUCUAGAUGGGUAACUUAAAAGAAGAUAAGAUACAUAAAAAGAACCUCGCUAAUCUUGACUAAAUCUGAACAAAUUGAUACCAUAUGAAACUAAACUUGCACGAACAAAUUGAUACCAUAUGAAACUAAACUUGCAAAAAUUCCUCAAAAUAGCAAACUUAUACAUUAAUGCUUCAACUAUAUUUGCAACUUAAUAGCACAAUCAACCCAACUAGAAUAAAAACACAAUUUACUAACCAUGUGCCUAACGCAGUCCUGAUCAAGAACAACAUCAAAGCUGGCCACAUGAUGGCCACCAAGUGCACCUGACACGCACGGAGCACCCGGGCAACGACACACAGGGCAGACCAUUCGUGCAACAAACAGAAUGAUUUUUUUGACAGAUUAGGAACAAAUACAAUAAAAUCAUACUACCACUACUUACAAGAAUGCUCAUAAAUAAUUGGAUUCAACAACUUCUUAAACUAAUCCGACAAAAAAACAAAGAUAUAAGCAUUUGGGAUAAAAAAGAUCAAACCUUAUACGCUCAACUAAAACCUACCCUACUUCAUAUAACUAUCAAUGAUUGUACACACACUGUAAACAGAAAAAAGGAAUCAUCUUUUCAUUAAAAAAUCCCUUAAAACACAUAUGCAACAACAAUAUAUAACUAAAAAGGCACUCCAAAUCCUAAAAACUGCAGUAUAGGACCUAUAAGUGCAUGAAUCAAUAUCCUCCACAUAACAGAGGCGGAUUGGAACAUGAAAGAAAGAAAGUUUAGAAAACCCUAACAAAUGUAAGGCUAACAAAGUCUACCACCAAACACUACACAUGCAAUCUAAGAAACCCUAGCACAAGGCCUCGAAAAAGAUUUGGCUAUCAUUCAGACAAAAGCUCAAAAAUAGAUGAGGCUAACAUCCCACUAAGCAUCAACAUGCGCACAGAUUGGAUUCCAACGAAUCAGCUAUGAAUUCAAGACCUCCAACGCCGCAGCCUAGAAAGCAGAAACCUUGCAAAGCAUCUUUUCAAGUGGCAGUCCUUGGUAGUUUACAAUCUCUCAGGCAUUCGGCCACUAGACUAACGCCUAUAAUUGACGACGACGCCGUCGACGCUUUCUCCGACUGGACUCGAGGUAAAAGCGACAAUACUUCCAGGCCCUCAUCGGUGACCAAGCAGCCCUCUGGAGUCUGACACGCAGUUGACGACGAUGCCGCCGCCGCCGCCGCUGUCCUGUCUGCUGUGGCUUAGCAUUUGAUUCGUCAUGCGAGGGAGUCCCUUCCUUUGGAGGCUCUGGACCCCGAGGUAGCAGCGACAACACUUCCAGGUCCUCGGUGUUGCGAAGCAAGGCGGCGACCGACGGGGCCGCAUCGUCGGUGACCAGGCAGCCCUCGAGGGUCAGCUGCCUGAGGUGGCGCAGCUCAAGCAGGACGCAUGAGAGCACGCUGCCCCCCUCCACCAGAAUCCACCUCGGUUAUAUCGUAACGGUUCUUAGGCGAAGCCCUGUUCCGGUAGCAACAUCAUCAUCGUCAUCACGCCGUCGUGCUGACGAAACUCUCCCUCGAAGCUCUACUGGAUCGUGAGUUCGCGGGACGUCACCGAGCCGAACUUGUGCAGAUCGCGGAGGUGCCGUACCUUCGGUGCUAGAUCGGACGAUCGUGAAGACGUACGACUACAUCAACCGCGUUGUCAUAACGCUUCCGCUUACGGUCUACGAGGGUACGUAGAUGAUACUCUUCCCUCUCGUUGCUAUGCAUCACCAUGAUCUUGCGUGUGCGUAGGAAUUUUUCUUGAAAUUACUAUGUUCCCCAACAUUUAUAUCUCACAAGAACAAUACACUCAAUACAUCAGAGAAAGAUACUAACCAUGAUAUUCUUGAUUGUGUUAGUUGGAAUCAUGACAUGGACGAAAGGCACACACUGCAGGAAAUUGCCCCCGAGUAGACAACGGAGGAAGUAGCAGUUCUGAUGGUUGCACACCAACUUGCGCAGCAAUACAGCAGAAAUAGCAUACUCAUAGUUGGCAUCGGACAGGUUUUCAAAAGCUAUAGAAAAAGAAAAAACACAUCAGAUAAACAGUCUUGCAACUUGAACAAUUAAAAUAUCUAACAUUCAUGGAAGUUUCAAACAAACAUUGAGAUAGCUUACCAACACAAGGCAGAGGGAGGAUUCUAUCACCACCACGGUAGGUUUGGAUCUUCACAUCAAAAGUUAGAUGGUCCAGCGUAAAAACAACACGAUCUCCAGCACGUAGGCCGUAGUCAUGGGUGAACUGAAACCAGGAACUACCAACGAACUUGUUGUAGUUUGCUCGGUGCUUGAAAGUGGCUGGGUAAGUCCUGCUUUCAAAAGUAAGAAGUUCAGGCUCCGUCUUCUUGAACUGCAGAAUCCUAGCCUCCUCUCUCUGCUCCUCAAUAUACUCAGCUAAAUCAUUUCUCACAUUGCAGGGGAUGUACUGCAAACACAAUUAAUAUAUAACUCAAAUAAUAAACUCACAAGAAUAAACAAGCUACUCUAAUAAAAUACUAAAAACAUUAACUAGUAGCCACAAACAUAAAAUGCAGAAAGAUAACAUAUCAACCAAGCACUUUACAAUUAUAGAGCAUGAUGGUUUGCAAGAGAAAUCAAUAACCUAACAACUAGUAGACACGAAACCUUUAGCACAAAGUCAAAAACAUUUGGCAUAACAGUUAUUCGCACCAAGCCAAUUAUGCUACACAAUACUUCAAGGUAUAAGACAUGAAAACAUGCACAUAGCCAUACAUGCAUCAGUUGAUCAUAGCAUACACAUAAAUUAAUCAAAAAGAAAAGGAAUGCCUCAGUAAACACAUACACAUAAACUGAUAUAUGCAUAAAAUAAAAUAAUCCUAUAAAUGAAAAGAUAAAUACUACUCACCAUCCUAAUCAAGCAAAUCUCAUCAAACACAACAUCAAAUAAUUCCUAAUCUAGAUGGGUAACUUAAAAGAAGAUAAGAUACAUAAAAAGAACCUCGCUAAUCUUGACUAAAUCUGAACAAAUUGAUACCAUAUGAAACUAAACUUGCACGAACAAAUUGAUACCAUAUGAAACUAAACUUGCAAAAAUUCCUCAAAAUAGCAAACUUAUACAUUAAUGCUUCAAAUAUAUUUGCAACUUAAUAGCACAAUCAACCCAACUAGAAUAAAAACACAAUUUACUAACCAUGUGCCUAACGCAGUCCUGAUCAAGAACAACAUCAAAGCUGGCCACAUGAUGGCCACCAAGUGCACCUGGCACGCACGGAGCACCCGGGCAACGACACACAGGGCAGA